CAAAAUAUAGUUUAAUUUAAAACACCUCGCUUACACCGAGCUAACAUCUGUUAAAGCCAGAUUAUUUUGA
rnacentral:tRNA from 1 species